GUGCCCGUGGUGUAGUGGUAGCACACGACUCUGUGGCAGUCGCAGGGCCGGUUCAAAUCCGGUCGGGCACCCCA
rnacentral:tRNA from 1 species